CACGUAGAUGGAGAAUAGAUGGGUGAAUGGAUAGAUGGACAGGUAGAUGGUGGAUAGAUGGGUAGAAGAUGGAUGGAUAUAUGUACAGGUAGAUGUUGGAUGGGUCGGUGGGGACAGGUAGAUGGAUGGAUGAGUAGAAGGUGGAUGGGUAGGUGGAUGGUUGAUGGAAGUGUGGAUGGUGGAUGGACAAUUAGAAGGUGGAAGGAUGGGUGAAUGGUGGACACAUGGGUGGGUGGAUGGAUGGAUGGAUGGUAGAUUGCGGGGGAUAGUGGAUGGACAAGGGAGAAGGUGGCUGCAUGGGUGGGUGAUUGGAUGUGUGGAUGGAUUGGUGGAUGGUGGGUAGAAGGUGGAUGGAAGGGUGCAUGGUGGAUGGAUGGGUGGGUGUGUGGAGGUGUGGAUGGAUAAAUGGAUGGCAGAUAGACAGGGAGAAGGUAGAUGGACGGUGGAUGGACUGGGAGAAGGUGGAUGGACAGAUAAAUGGCAGAUGGAUGAUGGACAGUAGAUGGACGAGUAGCCAGUGGAUGGGUAGGUGGAUGGUGGAUAGAUGGGUAGAUGGAUGCAUGCACAGGUAGAUGGUGAACGGAAGGCUGAAUGCUACAUGGAUGGGCAGAAGGUGCGUGGAUGGCUGGAUGGUGGAUGGACAGGUGGAUGGUUGAUGGAGGAGGGAUGGUGGAUGGACGGGGGAUAGUGGAUGGACGGUGGAUAGUAGAUGGACAGGUGGAUGGUUGUGGAGGAUCAGUUGAGUGGAUAUUGAAUGGAUAAUGGAUGGUGGAUGGACGGGUAGAGGGUGGUUGGAAGGGUGUGGUGGAUGACGGGUAGAUGGUUGUUGGAGGAGUGAGUAGAUAUUGGAUGGAAAAAUGGUUGGUGGAUGGUGGAUGGACAGAUGGAUGGUGGAUGGACGGGGAG